ensembl:snRNA U6 U6 spliceosomal RNA
GUGCUCACUUUGGCAGCACAUAUACUAAAAUUGGUAUGAUACAGAGAAGAUUAGCAUGGCCCCCCUCAAGGAUGACAUGCAAAUUCAUUAAGCUUUCCAUUUUUUU